rnacentral:tRNA from 1 species
UCAGCAAAGCUCAACCAGUUAGAGCGUCACACUCGGGAUGUGAAGGAGUGGGUGCGAAUCCCACUGCUAGACCCA